AUUGAACGCUGGCGGCAGGCCUAACACAUGCAAGUCGAACGAGUGGCGGACGGGUGAGUAAUGUCUGGGAAACUGCCUGAUGGAGGGGGAUAACUACUGGAAACGGUAGCUAAUACCGCAUACCAUCAGAUGUGCCCAGAUGGGAUUAGCUAGUUGGUGGGGUAAAGGCUCACCAAGGCGACGAUCCCUAGCUGGUCUGAGAGGAUGACCGGCCCAACUGGAACUGUGACACGGUCCAGACUCCUACGUGAGGCAGCAGUGGGGAAUAUUUCACAAUGGGCGCAAGCCUGAUGCAGCCAUGCCGCGUGUAUGAAGAAGGCCUUCUGGUUGUAAAGUUCUGUAAGCGGGGAGGCGUUACCCGCAGAAGAAGCACCGGCUAACUCCGUGCCAGCAGCCGCGGUAAUUC
rnacentral:rRNA from 1 species